GCCUGUGGACACUGCCGAGGAAGCAUCGUUAAAGUCUCUCUUCUGCUUGCCAUCAUGUGUAAGUCAGAGUCUCCUAAAGAGCCCGAACAACUGAGGAAGCUCUUCAUUAGGGGGUUGAGCUUUGAAACAACUGAUGAGAGCCUGAGGAGCCAUUUUGAGCAAUGGGAAUGCUCACGGACUGUGUGGUCAUGAGACAUCCAAACACCAAGUGCUCCAGGGGCUGUGGGUUUGUCACAUAUGCCACUGUGGAGGAGGUGAAUGCAGCCAUGAAUGAAAGGCCACACAAGGUGGAUGGAAGAGUUGUGGAAACAAAGACAGCUGUCUCAAGAGAAGAUUCUCAAAGACCAGGUGCCCCCUUAACUGUGAAAAAGAUAUUUGUUGGUGGCACUAAAGACAUUGAAGAACAUCACCUAAGAGAUUCUUUUUUUUUUUCAGAUGGAACUCUCCGCACCUCUAGCUUCUCAUCUGUCUGGCGAGGCCUGAUCCUCACAGACCAACUUCACGAUUCGCCAGGCCUGCAGGUCUUUCUCCUGCGCAACCCGCUUGUUCUCGCAGCCAACAGCCCCCUACCGCCGCGAGCUCCCCUCUCGGCGCGGCGCGGGGGCGGGGCUAGGAGGCGGAGCAGGGGCAGGGUGCGCGCGCGUGAGAACGUCCGGGGAGCGCGCGCGCCGCCGCCGACGCCGCCGGGCUGA